GAAAUUGUGCGUUUGGUAAAUGUGUUUUUUUUAAAAAGAAAAAAAGCUGCCACCGGACAGAGCACUUUAUUUCACAUCAGAGGAAGACUGAUAAACCACAACGGUCUACACCUCACGCCACACAACACCCUCCCCUGUUCUCUUGCCUCUCUGAAAAUAUCUCUACCUCACUUUUCACUUCUCUCUUUGCAAUACCAAACCAACAUGAACAAUACCCAUUUGCAGAUUGGUAUAUGUCAUUUUGGCCGUGGAUCUGGUGAUUUGCUUGCAAGAUUGGCGUGGGGCUGAUGGUCUAGUAGUUUUGGGGAUGGGUUUUCGCCGUGUGUCUGCUGGUUUGCUUGUGAGAUCGGCGUGGGGUGGAUGGUCUAGUAGUUUUGGUGAUGGGUUUUGGCCAUGGGUAUAGGUGGUGAUGGGUAUGGGUGGUUAGGUUCAUGGUGGUGGUAGAGGGUUGCCAUGGUGGUGGGUAUAGGUUUGCUGGGAUCAUGCUUUGAUGGGUUUGUAUAGCACACACCACACCACACCACAGGGUUUUUCCUCUAACCCCUUCCUUCUUGGUGUCUGACCAGCUAGAGAUCUUUGAAUAAGCUUUCAGAUACAAGAAAGAUGUGGAGGUUCCAAAUUUGAAGAGGUCAUCUUCGUAUAAUGCAGAUCGUUAGGAUUUGAAGCAAGUGAAGAAUGUUCCACUUCACCACUGAAAACCCAAGGUCUUCCUCCAAAUUCAGGUUCGAAAUGCACUUUCCCCUUGGUUCUUAAUGGGUGUUUGUAACAAGAUUGUUGGUUUGCUCCAUUUUUAUCUGCAAUACCCACCAUGGAAAUCAUCAACAGCUGCUGGGUUUUGGGUGUUUGGAAGUAGAAGAAACACUUUUUCUUAGAUGCUGUUUUUUUCCUAAACGAAGGAGGGCCAUAUCAUCAUUGGCAUUUUCCUUUUGAUCUCUAUAAUGGAUUGAUUUUUUUUCCCUCUCUUCUGUAACUUUGUUUCUUUUAUGUGUUUUAUUAGUUGCCUAAUAAGUGCUCUUAAUUGGAGAAAAACUAAGAAAGUCAUGUGAAAAAUUAUCUCAUCUAUAUAUACAAUAGAUGAGAGCUAAUGAUUUGACACUCUUCGAGAAUUCUGAAAUUAAUUGCUGUUGGCGUUACUUGUGCUGUGCAAUUUAUAUGAACAUUAUUGAAUCUAUAGUCUUUAAAAUAUGACUGAUCAGCAUCAACUAAUUAAUCAUGGUUGUUGACAGUAUUAUUGACCUUUCAGAUAGGAAAUAUUAGCAAACUCCAAUUAGAUAUUGAUAUGAAACAUCACCUCAGUAUGGAAAACUGGUUCGCUUUAUUGCACAAAAUGAAGUUUUUACUCCUCGGUUGAAAAAUGUCGUAUUCAAGAUAUUAACAUCGCAACUGAAUUUUUUUUUAACUAUGUGUAUAACUUGAAGUUAGCAAUACUAGAAGUGGACUAGUCACUACCAUUUCUUGAAACUUUAUUAGAGUUGGUAAUUAAGUGGCAUUGUCAAAAAUCUAGAUAAUUAAAUGAAGAAUGAAACUAUAACACAAUACAGUAUUAUAGUGCUAUAUAAAACUAAAAGUUUAGGAAGGGUAAGACUUAGGUGUUAUUUCUUAGGUUCUCCUUUUAAGAUUUUGCUAUGUGGAGUUUUUUUUCAUGGAAUGAGAGUGUAUUUUUUAAUUAAGUAGCCACAUAUCUAAAUCUUAAGAAAGGAACUUAAUGAACAACAUUUAAGGUACUGUACUUAAGUUUUGUCCGUUUAAGAAUUAGGAUAUAUACGUCAAGUGGUCAACGAUAUUUAAAGCCCCUAGAGAACCUUUUUCAAAUUUAGCUCCCCAAAAUUUGCAUUCUGUUAAAGAAUAUGACAAAUGUAAUUGAUUGCAAAGAAUAGCCUAACCACCAAACUUAUUACCUUAAAAGUUAAUAAUGGCCCCUCUUUAGUUUCACAAUUUUUUUUUCUUCUUUUUUUUUUAUUUUCCAUUUUUCCUCCAGGAAUUAAAGGAUGAGCAACAAUCCACUUAAACUUCAAGUAAGGUUAAAAAGAAGGAAAAUUUAAAGCAAAUUGCACCUAUGCUUUCAAGGUUCCAACUUUGGUUACUGUGUUUAGCAUUGGAACCUUGAAAGAAAGUGAAAAUUCGGUUACUGUGUUUGGGAACUAGUUUAACAUGUAUAACACACACACACACACACACUGUCAUAUUAGUGUCCAUUGCUGGAAUUCUCCUUGACACUGCAAACCAUAAAAUGCUAUAUGAUUUUAAUGUUGCUACGUUUUUUGUGCCCAAAACUAAUGCUAUUUCUCACUUUCCUAUGCCAUUUUAAGGGUACCUAAGAGGCUCACUCUUUUCGAGUAUGGAAAAUGCUGUUAGUCCCAAGUUAGCGGCCUGGGGAGAGCUUGAGUUCCAAAAGGCAUAUCUAAUCCUAAGUUGCAUCAGGGAGGGGCACAAAUUAGAAAGCACGUUGAUGGCACUCUAGGAAGUGGAAACCUAGGGGAGGCUGUAAAACUUCCUACUGUGGAGGACUUGAAUGAGUGGCUUGCUGUCAUGUCUGAAGGCUGGAAAUUAAUUAGGCCACUAUUUGGAUGUGUUCUUUUCUUUCUUGCUCUCUUUCUUAAUUUUUAUUUUUUGUUUUUUUUGUUUUCAGUUUUCUUAUUCAUUGCAGCUCCAUUUGACAUGUUAUCAUGUUUGGAGAGCCUCCAUUGUAUACACGUAAGUUAUGACAUUUUUGAAUCAUACUUGCAAUAAAAAGCAGUGAUUUUUUGGUUCUUGGAUUAA